GUGCUGGCUUUAGCAGCACAUACACUAAAAUUGGAAUGAUGCAGAAAUUAUCAUGGCCCCUGUACAAGGAUGACAUGCAAAUUCAUGAAGCCUUCUGACGUACAU
ensembl:snRNA U6 U6 spliceosomal RNA